rnacentral:rRNA from 1 species
CCUACGGGUGGCAGCAGUGAGGAAUAUUGGUCAAUGGACGAGAGUCUGAACCAGCCAAGUAGCGUGAAGGAUGACUGCCCUAUGGGUUGUAAACUUCUUUUAUAUGGGAAUAAAACGUUCCACGUGUGGGAUUUUGUAUGUACCAUAUGAAUAAGGAUCGGCUAACUCCGUGCCAGCAGCCGCGGUAAUACGGAGGAUCCGAGCGUUAUCCGGAUUUAUUGGGUUUAAAGGGAGCGUAGGUGGAUUGUUAAGUCAGUUGUGAAAGUUUGCGGCUCAACCGUAAAAUUGCAGUUGAAACUGGCAGUCUUGAGUACAGUAGAGGUGGGCGGAAUUCGUGGUGUAGCGGUGAAAUGCUUAGAUAUCACGAAGAACUCCGAUUGCGAAGGCAGUUCACUGGACUGCAACUGACACUGAUGCUCGAAAGUGUGGGUAUCAAACAGGAUUAGAUACCCCAGUAGUC